AAAAACUUCACACAUGCACCGACACGAUUGGCGGGGUGCCCCUUAGCGGGUUGUCAAUUGCGGGUGCAUGGAGGCCUAAC
rnacentral:sRNA from 1 species